AUCGCUUCUCGGCCUUUUGGCUAAGAUCAAAGUGUAGUAUCUGUUCUUAUCAGCUUAAUUUCAUUGAAUUUCUUAUUAUAAAGAUAAAUUUCCCCCAUUAACCCUU
rnacentral:snRNA from 1 species